rnacentral:rRNA from 1 species
GCUUUUGACGGGUAACGGGGAAUUAGGGUUCGACUCCGGAGAGGGAGCCUGAGAAACGGCUACCACAUCCAAGGAAGGCAGCAGGCGCGCAAAUUACCCAAUCCCGAUACGGGGAGGUAGUGACAAGAAAUACCGAUUCAGGAUCUUAUUGGAUCUUGAGAUUGGAAUGAGUACAAUUCAAACCCAUUAACGAGGAACAACUAGAGGGCAAGUCUGGUGCCAGCAGCCGCGGUAAUUCCAGCUCUAGUAGCGUAUAUUAAAAUUGUUGCAGUUAAAACGCUCGUAGUUGAACUUUGGGCUUGGCUGGCUGGUCCGCCUCACCGCGUGCACUGGUCCGGCUGGGCCUUUCCUCUUGGGGAUCCACAUGCCCUUCACUUGGGUGUGUUGGGGAACCAGGACUUUUACUUUGAAAAAAUUAGGGUGUUCAAAGCAGGCAUUUGCUCGAAUACAUUAGCAUGGGAUAAUAGAAUAGGACGUGUGGUCUUAUUUUGUUGGUUUCUAGGACCGCCGUAAUGAUUGAUAGGGAUAGUUGGGGGCAUCGGUAUUCAAUUGUCAGAGGUGA